GAUCCUGGCUCAGGAUGAAUGCUGGCGGUGUGCCUUAAGCAUGCAAGUCGAACGGUAAAUUCCCUUCGGGGAAUACGAGUGGCAGACGGGUGAGUAAUACGUAGGAACUUACCCUAAAGUGGGGAAUAGCUCAUCGAAAGGUGGGGUAAUGCCGCAUAUGGUCGCAAGAUCAAAGUCGCAAGACGCUUUAGGAGAGGCCUGCGCCCUAUCAGGUAGUUGGUGAGGUAAUGGCUCACCAAGCCAAUGACGGGUAGCCGGUGUGAGAGCAUGACCGGCCACAAGGUAACUGAGACACGGUGCCUACACCUACGGGUGGCAGCAACUGGGAAUAUUGCGCAAUGGACGAAAGUCUGACGCAGCGACACCGCGUGUGGGAAGAAGCUUUUCGGAGUGUAAACCACUGUGGCAGGGGAACAAUUUUGAGCGUACCCUGCUAGAAAGCACCUGCUAACUACGUGCCAGAAGCCUCGGUAAUACGUAGGGUGCAAGCAUUAUCCGGAUUUACUGGGCGUAAAGCGUUCCGUCGGCGGUUUAUCAAGUUUCAUCUUUAAUACUGGGGCUCAACCCCAGAUACAGGAUGGAAAACUAGUAGACUAGAGUUUACUAUGGGGAGCUGGAAUUCUCGGUGGAGGGGUGAAAUCCGUAGAUAUCGAGAGGAACACCAUUCGCGAAGGCGAGCUCCUAGGGUAACACUGACGCUCAGGGACGAAAGCUUGGGUAGCAAAAGGGAUUAGAGACCCCUGUAGUCCAAGCCGUAAACAUUCCUUGCUAAUUGCUUGGUCCUUUAUGGAUUGAGUGAUGUAAGCUAACGCGUUAAGCAAGGCGCCUGGGGAUUACGAUCGCAAGAUUAAAACUCAAAGGAAUUGACGGGGACCCGCACAAGCAGCGGAGCGUGUGGUUUAAUUCGAUGCUACACGAAGAACCUUACCAAGGUUUGACAUGUAAGUGGUAGUGAUCUGAAAAGUGAACGACCCUUCGGGGAGCUUACACAGGUGCUGCAUGGCUGUCGUCAGCUCGUGUCGUGAGAUGUUCGGUUAAGUCCGCUAACGAGCGCAACCCUCACUGUGUGUUACAAGUGUCACACGGGACUGCCGGUUUUAAGCCGGAGGAAGGCGAGGAUGACGUCAAGUCAGCAUGGCCUUUAUAUCUUGGGCUACACACACGCUACAAUGGUCUGUACAAUAGGUUGCCAAGCCGCGAGGCGGAGCCAAUCCUAGAAGCAGGCCUCAGUUCAGAUUGCAGGCUGCAACCCGCCUGCAUGAAGAUGGAGUUGCUAGUAACCGCAGGUCAGCUAUACUGCGGUGAAUACGUUCCCGGGCCUUGUACACACCGCCCGUCACACCACGAAAGUUGGUAACACCCGAAGCCGGUGAGGUAACCAGUAAUGGAGCCAGCCGUCUAAGGUGGGGCCGAUGAUUGGGGUG
rnacentral:rRNA from 1 species